UACGUAGGGGGCAAGCGUUGUCCGGAAUCAUUGGGCGUAAAGAGCGUGUAGGCGGUCCGGUAAGUCGGCUGUGAAAGCCCUGGGCUCAACCUGGGAAUUGCAGUGGAUACUGGCAAGCUAGAGUGCGGUAGAGGAUGGUGGAAUUCCCGGUGUAGCGGUGAAAUGCGUAGAGAUCGGGAGGAACACCCGUGGCGAAGGCGGCCAUCUGGACCAGCACUGACGCUGAGGCACGAAAGCGUGGGGAGCAAACAGG
rnacentral:rRNA from 1 species